GGACAAGUCCGUUGGGAAAUCCGCACGCUUAACGUGCGGGCGUCCAGCGGAAACUGUCCGGCUUGGGACCGGAAGACCCGAGGGGUACGUCCGGGGUAGGAGUGAAAUCCUGUAUCUCGGACGGACCACCUGUGGCGAAAGCGCCUCGGGAAGACGGAUCCGACAGUGAGGGACGAAAGCCAGGGUCUCGAACCGGAUUAGAUACCCGGGUAGUCCUGGCCGUAAACGAUGUCCGCUAGGUGUGACGCAGGCUACGAGCCUGCGUUGUGCCGUAGGGAAGCCGUGAAGCGGACCGCCUGGGAAGUACGUCUGCAAGGAUGAAACUUAAAGGAAUUGGCGGGGGAGCACUACAACCGGAGGAGCCUGCGGUUUAAUUGGACUCAACGCCGGACAUCUCACCAGCACCGACAGCAAUAAUGACGGUCAGGUUAAUGACCUUACCCGAGCUGCUGAGAGGAGGUGCAUGGCCGCCGUCAGCUCGUACCGUGAGGCGUCCUGUUAAGUCAGGCAACGAGCGAGACCCGCACCCUUAGUUGCCAGCAGCAUCCACGUGAUGGCUGGGUACACUAGGAGGACUGCCGCUGCCAAAGCGGAGGAAGGAACGGGCAACGGUAGGUCAGUAUGCCCCGAAUGUGCUGGGCAACACGCGGGCUACAAUGGCCGGGACAAUGGGAUGCCAUCCCGAGAGGGAGCGCUAAUCCCCUAAACCCGGUCGUAGUUCGGAUU
rnacentral:rRNA from 1 species